CAGCAGCCGCGGGAAUACGAGGGGGGCAAGCGUUGUUCAGAAUUAUUGGGCGUAAAGGGUGCGUAGGCGGUUUCGUAAGUCUUAUGUGAAAUCUAUGGGCUCAACCCAUAGUCUGCAUGGGAAACUGCGAGGCUUGAGGAUGGGAGAGGUGAGUGGAAUUUCCGGUGUAGCGGUGAAAUGCGUAGAUAUCGGAAGGAACACCUGUGGCGAAAGCGGCUCACUAGACCAUUUCUGACGCUGAUGCACGAAAGCUAGGGGAGCAAACAGGAUUAGAUACCCCAGUAGUCCCUGUCUCUUAUAA
rnacentral:rRNA from 1 species